UGGAUAGCUAAGUGAGGUCUGCGCUCCAGCUUGCUUGUUUUUUUCUUUCACCGCUGUGCACACACACACACACACAAUGAUAUUUGGCUAAAUGAUUUCAGUGGUAACGGGGCAUGCUUAGUCAAUGCAAUGAUGCAAAUGAUGGAGUGUCAUUCCAGAAGUUCUUAAAAGCUGCAAAACACUCACUAGCAGGGUAGAUGGCUAUGCUAACGAGCUAUCUAGCUGAUAGCUUUAGCGUUCAUCACAGGUUUGUUUAAUGGUGCAUUCGAGUUAAUUCUAGUGAUAUGGCACAUAGGAAACAAGUAUUCCAGUCUAAGGUUCUUCAGAGGCUGUACCUUACCUCCCAGGCCUGCGAAAGAAUCCAGCUCUCCACCCGCUGAGACCUCUGUGAAACAAAAAGUAGGCCUAGAGGAGGAGGGCACUAUCACUGGAGAUAGAGGGAUAACACUAUCCCCAGCAAGGCAGACGAGUAUACACAGUCCUAGCUCCCCCUGCAGAUUACAAGACGAGUGCAGAGGGAUCUGUCACGCCUUCAGCCAGCAUGCAUAAAUACUGUGGAGUUGUUGAGAACACUCAUGAGUCCAACAAAGAUGAAGAGGUAGAAGAAGACGAUGGAGGAAGAAGAAGGAGAAAUGGGAACUAUAGCUCCAGGAGGUGGGACAGUGGUGGACGGAGCGGGCCAGGUUACAGAAUCCAACCCUGGGGACCCUCAUGGAGGAAGGAGUGUGGCUCAACAAGAAGAGGAGGAAGCAACGUCAUCAACAGAAGCUCUUGUCUCUGGGUCUGGUGCCCCGUGCUGCAGCUCGAGUUCACCUACGAGAGCGAGGGGGAGCGGAGGGGGGAGGAAGAGAUGAGGCAGAGAAGAGCAGCUGAAGUGAUAAUCUUCCUCAGGACCACACAAUAUCUACGUGUCUGAUUGUGAGUGUGACGUACCAGGGCUGCUAAUCAACCCAGAUACGGUCACAUAUAGCCUAAGCUGUGUUUCAGUCUUCCUAAGAGCUGGCCAAAAGUGCUGAAGCAUAGUUCAUUUUAUAGCUUUCGGAUUGGCAGAAAAUAAAUAAUUUGAACAGCACUGUGCAGAGCACACGCAAAUUGAAAGUGAAAGCACAGCUCAUUAAUCACUAGCCUAUAACAACUUGAGGACCUUGAGAGAUUUAGGAAUCGAGGUGUAGAGGUUUGGGUUUACUUCAUCAUGCUCAAAUGUAAUGGACAGGCUCAGUCAUCUGGUCUGUCAUAAUCCCUCCGUGACUUGCCUCUGGAGGACUAGACAGACAGUCAGUCAGUCCAAAGAAUCCCAUUGGUUCCAGGGAUUAAGGUUUCUCUGUUGGUGAAUUACUGUGGAAGGCUAAGGAGGAAGACCUCUGGAAAUGUCCACAGUAGUUCAGUUAAAGGGGCCAGAUGCUCCUGUUCCUUAUAUGCACCUCAGUCUAGAGAUAGACCAGGUGAUUAGACACAGGCCCAUUCAGCAACGGAGCUUAUAAUGGUUGGUGGAGUAAUAGUAUACUUACUCCACUACCAAGCAGGUUCAUCUGGUAGUGGAGGGCCUUCUGACCAGCCUGUACAAUGGAACAUUCCCCCCUGCUGUUUUUGCCCAGCUCCACAGCCUCUAGUCCCUGGUGCAGCAACAGGACACAGCAAGGGUGGCAAAGGAUCUGCAGGAGCUCCAGAACAGCUCUACCAUGUCUACUGGUGAUGCCACUGCAGUUGUGUCCCUGUUUCAGUAUUGGAUCACAGACAUCCCGCCCAUGCAGAGAGAAUGGAAAACAGGCCAACCAACAACACAGCCUUAGACUUUCCUAGAUGUUCAGGGUUUUAAACAAUACUGCUGACGGAAAACAUGUCUGACUCAUUCAUUCACUGAUUCAUUGUGAGCCCAUGUAACGGAGUUAAGUACAUACCGUAAGCUCACUUCACAGCUAGCUUGAAAUGUUGCGGAUGGAGCCAUCCAAUCGGUACCUUUUGGGUGGCUCAAACCGUUGGAAUGUUGUCAAGGAGGGAGGCCACGUGUGUUAGCAAAGCAGAGGUCCCGAGUUCGAGCCAGGUACGAGCCGAAUCGGGGAGGUGAUACCAGACAAAAUUAAUUAACCGUUUAAUGGAUUUUUCCCACAGAAAAGUGAGGCGAGCAAGUGUUUUAUUUUUGUUUUUUAUAAAUGAAAACAUUAAGUGGAUAAGGAAUAACAGUACUUUACCACAUUGUCCUAUGCACCUGUGCGAGCUCUAGGCCUAGUGUGAGAUUCAAGAGUUAUAUUAUUCCAUGUGAAAACCUACACUAUUUUUCUUAAAAAGAAUGCAGAUGUUACAAUGUUGUUAUAACCAUGAGAAAUGAAACACACUAAAGUAUAACUUGUGACAGUUUCGUUAUUCCUGAUCAAAAAAAUGAUCUCUGAUAUACACAAUCGUUCAAAAGUUUGGGGUCACUUAGAAAUGUCCUUGUUUUUGAAAGAAAAUCACUUUUUUUUUGGUCCA